AGAAGAUUUAAGUUUCAUGCUAAGCUGACACAUGAACACCAUUAUUUACAACAAUAUUAAACAGAAACUCUCUGUAAUGCCUUUCAAAGAUAUGGUAUAUAAUUUAACAACAGAAUAAGCAUCUGGAACUAGGAAGUUUAUUAGUACACAUAAAACUGUUGGUUGUCUGCUAAGGCUGUUGUUAAUGUAUGUAAAGCAUAACAAAAGGAGCCCUACUGAAAACAUAAAACCAGACUCUUCAGCAAGCACCAAGAAAUAACUUAUAGUAACCUGUAUCAGCAAAUGUUGCAUUUUCAAAAUGGCAAAUAUUGUUCUUCUACAUCUAGUAAACAAUUAUUGAAUUUUGUACUCACAAAAUCUGUUUUGUCUUUCAGUCUCUGCCUGGAAAGAUUGGUUUUGGGUUUUUUUUCCUUCUUUCUUAAUGAAAACAGAAGGGAGAAAGAAUCAAGACUAUGCUUUUCUAAUGCAGAGCUGCAGUCUUACACUUACUGGCGGUGCUACUUGGAAUCAAUAGAAAAUUUGUGGAACAAGGAGAUCAAGAUCAAUCCCUACCAGAGAAGCUUUGCAGAGCAGAAGCAGCAACAUUCCCAGAGGCCGAUGCCCUUAUUCCAGAGUUCAGCACCAGCAAUGUGAGCGAAAUAAAAGCCUUCAGUGAAUUCUCUGCUAAGAUGUUUCUCAGCUCUUGGCAAACCUUAUGGCAAAAGCAAAGAAGUUUUUAACAAGGAAAUGCAAGGCUUAAGAGCACAGCUAUUGUCUCUGAAGAUAAAGGCUGACAAAUGAAGCAGUGAAACGUCUAGUUAUCUUCCACUUGACCUUAAGCUCUACGAUUCUGUCUUCACUCCUCAAACUGGCUGGAUUGCACAGCUGAGCCUUUGAGUCAGAUCACCAAACUAUCAGAAAACUAACCCAGCAGUAGAAGCGAACCACUUCCAUGUGACAUUGGGCUUUCUUUGACCAUUUACUCUCCAUUCCUAUUACUGAAAAGGAGUACUCCAACUGCUCAGAACAGAGAGCUGGAACUUGUGGGACAACAGGGCAUGAACGGGACUGCGGAUGGUGCUUCCAGGCAAGAAGCACCUACAGCAACUAGCUUUGGUGUUUCUGCAUUCCUCAGAAAUAUUAAGUAUUUACUUCAUCCUGGAGGCAAGAAGUGCAACAGGAAGAUAAAUACUUCGAUCUGGUAUUUUUACUUUUGAUGUGGGAUGUGACUGGUAUUGAACAGACCAUCACAGCAGAAAAGAAGAGCUUAGUACAUGAAAUGGGUGGAAAGUUCUGAACGCUACCAUAUGCACUCCUUUUAAACCUCAGGCAAAUCACCAGAGACUGAUUUUCCUGCUAGGAAUUAGCCACAAAUCAUUCAGACAUGAAGAGUAAUUUGAAUGUAAUUUUCCCUUGAUUGCUGGCAUUCCAAACAUUUUUUUUAAUGUUUUUUUCCAGUGGUUCAAAAUGAGGAUAUUUGCAUUUUCUAUUUUAUUUGUUUUUAAAUAAAACCUAUUUGUUAAGUAUAACUGCAUUUAGAAAAUUCAAACUUCAGAAAAAGCCAGAUUUAAGAUUGCCUUUGCCCAAUUUCAGUUAUCUACAUACAGAUUUUCAUAGGCUAUUGCUUUAUUUUUUUCACAGCCCAACUUUUCUUAGUCUCAGUUGAAGCUGUGACUAUGCUGCACCUUUGCAAAUGAAAACUUUGCUGUGACAAGAUAAGCACUCAGAAAAUGAGGAACAUCUUUCCUCUCAAAAGCCUCGUUUAAGUGACUUGCUUUGAAUCACAAGGUAAUCUUGUGACAGAUGAUGAUAUAAAAUACAUUUUCUAAGUUGGCAUUACAUUCCCUUAACUGUAGGAAUAAAGCCCAUUGAAAAACAGAUUGCUGUUUCAGUCUUGGUAUAAAACUGAAAUUAUAAACUUGCAUGACAAAUUGCCGAGCAGCUCAGAACAAAAGAUUUCAACUACAUCAGAAGGAAAAAGUACUCUCUGAAUUUAUCAUCCAAGUCUUCCAUAAAGUUAAUGACCUUACAAGAAAUAUUUUUUGCCAAAUAAACAACUUUCACGCAAAGCAGUUCUACCCAAUAAUUGUAUCUAGUUUGGCCUUUUAGCUCUCUCGAGUCCCACAUUUAUUAAUUUUAUAGCUUCAAAUAUUUGAAAAAGUAAGAUGAAAGCUUGAAGAUAAUAUGACUAAGUAGACACCCACAAGUAUUUUCUGGGCAUUGGCCAUCUUGUUCACUAUCUGAACAUAAAAAUGCAGGUUAGGAUCAUGUAAUUAAAGAGCUUAUUGUAAUGCCCAUAGAAAAGAAAGACAAGUUAUGAUUAAACAGAGAGCUUUAGUCAUGGUAUUUCCCAAUUUUGAGUUGUGUUUUUUGAACAUUAAUAUAUUAAUGUAGUUUUUGUUUCCUGUGAAAAAGUAAAAUAAAAAUCUGUUUAAAGCU